rnacentral:tRNA from 1 species
GUCUUCGUGAUGUAGUGGUCAUCACACUCGGCGCGUAACUGAGAGGUCCGGGGUUCGAUUCCUGGCGAAGGUG